rnacentral:lncRNA from 1 species
UGUGUUAACACAUACGCAUUGCGUGUCAAGAAUCAAGAUUCCAUUUCCGGCAAAAGAUGUGGGAGCAGAACUAUCCUAACAACAUGAUGUGCCGUUAACUACUCAUAAUCAAUAAACAAUUUGUUCCAUGGACAUUAACUUAUUACUUAGAGAAAAGGAUGUGUUGAGAUUAAUAUGCACUAAUGCAAUGUGUCACCAUUUUCUUGAUGCAUCAAGCUUAGGAGAUACUGAGGUCAUCAAUGAGUCUUGCAUUCAAGUGAGGUCAAUUAUACA